AGCGAACGCUGGCGGCAGGCCUAACACAUGCAAGUCGAGCGGCCGUAGCAAUACGGCAGCGGCAGACGGGAGAGUAACACGUGGGAACGCGCCCUUCGGUCUGGAAUAACCCAGGGAAACUUGGGCUAAUACCGGAUACGCCCUUACGGGGAAAGAUUUAUUGCCGAAGGAACGGCCCGCGUCCGAUUAGCUAGUUGGUGAGGUAACGGCUCACCAAGGCGACGAUCGGUAGCUGGUCUGAGAGGAUGACCAGCCUCACUGGGACUGAGACACGGCCCAGACUCCUACGGGAGGCAGCAGUGGGGAAUAUUGGACAAUGGGCGCAAGCCUGAUCCAGCCAUGCCGCGUGGGUGAUGAAGGCCCUAGGGUUGUAAAGCCCUUUCAGCGGGGAAGAUAAUGACGGUACCCGCAGAAGAAGCCCCGGCUAACUUCGUGCCAGCAGCCGCCGUAACAC
rnacentral:rRNA from 1 species